rnacentral:rRNA from 1 species
ACGCUCGACACCUACGGAAGGCAGCAGUCGGGAAUAUUGCGCAAUGGAGGAAACUCUGACGCAGUGACGCCGCGUAUAGGAAGAAGGUUUUCGGAUUGUAAACUAUUGUCGUUAGGGAAGAUACAAGACAGUACCUAAGGAGGAAGCACCGGCUAACUAUGUGCCAGCAGCCGACGGUAAUCUGAGCGGGCGUGGACGAAGGC